rnacentral:rRNA from 1 species
GUCUACGGCCAUGCCACCCUGAACGCGCCCGAUCUCGUCUGAUCUCGGAAGCUAAGCAGGGUCGGGCCUGGUUAGUACUUGGAUGGGAGAUAGGAGAAGGGAGUUGGGGUAAAUU